AAUUCCUUUACUGAAGCAACAGUACGAGGAACACCUUGUGCAGGACCAAAAGUUCUGGGAAGAACAGGAAGAAGAAAGGAUCAGUAAGGCAGUGUCCGAGCAUAAGAAGCUAGUGGAAACCAGUGGAAGGCUGCAGCGAAUGGUGUCAGAUAAAGAGACGUUUGUUGACAGCCUCCUUAAAGCUCGUCAGGCGUCUCAUGAGGAAAAAAUGAAAGAAUUCCAAGCCCGUUUGGACGACGUACGCAAGAAACGUUUGGAGGAGCGACGGAAAGAACGCAUUUUGGAGAGGAAGGUCCAGCGACGAAUUGAAAGAGAAGAGAAAGAAAAAAAGGAAAAGGAGGAAAGAGAAAA